rnacentral:rRNA from 1 species
UACGUAGGGUGCGAGCGUUAAUCGGAAUUACUGGGCGUAAAGCGUGCGCAGGCGGUUCGUUGUGUCGGCGGUGAAAUCCCCGGGCUCAACCUGGGAAUGGCCGUUGAAACUGGCGAACUGGAGUGUGGCAGAGGGGGGUGGAAUUCCGCGUGUAGCAGUGAAAUGCGUAGAGAUGCGGAGGAACACCGAUGGCGAAGGCAGCCCCCCUGGGCUGA